rnacentral:misc_RNA from 1 species
UUAAGUUCAGCGGGUAUUCCUACCUGAUCCGAGGUCAACCUUCAGAAGUUGGGGGUUUAACGGCGUGGCCGCGCUUUGUCCCGUUGCGAGGUUAGAUUACUACGCAGAGGAGUACAGCGUGACCGCCACUAGAUUUAGGGGACGGCGGGCGCGGAGGCUCGCCGAUCCCCAACACCAAGCCCGGGGGCUUGAGGGUUGAA